UAGGGAAUCUUCCACAAUGGACGCAAGUCUGAUGGAGCAACGCCGCGUGAGUGAAGAAGGCUUUCGGGUCGUAAAACUCUGUUGUUGGAGAAGAAUGGUCGGCAGAGUAACUGUUGUCGGCGUGACGGUAUCCAACCAGAAAGCCACGGCUAACUACGUGCCAGCAGCCGCGGUAAUACGUAGGUGGCAAGCGUUAUCCGGAUUUAUUGGGCGUAAAGCGAGCGCAGGCGGUUUUUUAAGUCUGAUGUGAAAGCCCUCGGCUUAACCGAGGAAGCGCAUCGGAAACUGGGAAACUUGAGUGCAGAAGAGGACAGUGGAACUCCAUGUGUAGCGGUGAAAUGCGUAGAUAUAUGGAAGAACACCAGUGGCGAAGGCGGCUGUCUGGUCUGUAACUGACGCUGAGGCUCGAAAGCGUGGGUAGCAAACAGGAUUAGAUAC
rnacentral:rRNA from 1 species